rnacentral:rRNA from 1 species
GACGAACGCUGGCGGCGUGCCUAACACAUGCAAGUCGAACGAAGCACCAAAGCAGAAAUUUUCGGAUGGAAGUGGCGGAUGACUGAGUGGCGGACGGGUGAGUAACGCGUGAGCAACCUGCCUUUCAGAGGGGGAUAGCGUCUGGAAACGGACGGUAAUACCGCAUAACGUAUCAUGUCCACAUGGACAGAAUACCAAAGAUUUAUCGCUGAAAGAUGGGCUCGCGUUGGAUUAGAUAGUUGGUGGGGUAACGGCCUACCAAGUCAACGAUCCAUAGCCGGACUGAGAGGUUGAACGGCCACAUUGGGACUGAGACACGGCCCAGACUCCUACGGGAGGCAGCAGUGAGGGAUAUUGGGCAAUGGGGGGAACCCUGACCCAGCAACGCCGCGUGAGGGAAGACGGUUUUCGGAUUGUAAACCUCUGUCCUCUGUGAAGAUAAUGACGGUAGCAGAGGAGGAAGCUCCGGCUAACUACGUGCCAGCCGCCGCCGUAAAAC